GAUGAACGCUAGCUACAGGCUUAACACAUGCAAGUCGAGGGGUAACGAGAGGAAAGCUUGCUUUCCUUGUCGACGACCGGCGCACGGGUGAGUAACGCGUAUCCAACCUGCCCCCAACUAGGGAAUAACCUUGCGAAAGUAAGACUAAUACCCUAUAAUUUCCUCAGAUGUCAUCUGACGAGGAAUAAAGAUUUAUCGGUUGUGGAUGGGGAUGCGUCUGAUUAGCUUGUUGGCGGGGUAACGGCCCACCAAGGCAACGAUCAGUAGGGGUUCGGAGAGGAAGGUCGCCCACAUGGGAACUGAGACACGGUCCAAACUCCUACGGGAGGCAGCAGUGAGGAAUAUUGGUCAAUGGGCGGAAGCCUGAACCAGCCAAGUAGCGUGCAGGAUGGCGGCCCUAUGGGUUGUAAACUGCUUUUAUACAGGAAUAAAGUUAGCCACGUGUGGUUAUUUGUAGGUACUGUAUGAAUAAGGACCGGCUAAUUCCGUGCCAGCCGCCGCGGUAA
rnacentral:rRNA from 1 species